UCGGAUAGUAUAUAUUCUCUUUCUCAUACACACAACGUAUUACAUCCUCACCUUCCUGAAACCCUAAAUCCCAAAAUACUCUGCUCUUCUUUUUCUUUUCCAUUGUUCAACGAUAAUAGAAGGGCUUGAUGUUAAUGACAUAUCUGAAGAUGCAAGACAAGAUGAAAAUGAAUCCUUAUUCAUCGAUCAAUUGUAGAAGAUAGUUACUACUGGGACGGAAUCUACUACAAAACUGGAAACAAUGGCUUUAAUAGGAAUGUAGUCGAAGUGGAAUUGUUGGUGUUACCAAACCACGUUGUGUGGCGGUUUCCGCAAACGCAAGGGUUGUUCACAAGCCGAGCUGAAUUAUGGCAGAUUGAUUAAAAAAUCUUUCCAAUU